rnacentral:rRNA from 1 species
UACAGAGGGUGCAAGCGUUGCUCGGAAUCAUUGGGCGUAAAGCGCACGUAGGCGGUCUGUUAAGUCGGAUGUGAAAGCCCUCGGCUCAACCGAGGAAGUGCAUUCGAAACUGGCAGACUUGAAUAUGGAAGAGGGUCGCGGAAUUCCCGGUGUAGAGGUGAAAUUCGUAGAUAUCGGGAGGAACACCAGUGGCGAAGGCGGCGACCUGGGCCAAUAUUGACGCUGAGGUGCGAAAGCGUGGGGAGCAAACAGG